AGAGUUUGAUCCUGGCUCAGGAUGAACUCUUGCGGCGUGCCUAAUACAUGCAAGUCGAACGCUUCACUUCGGUGAAGAGUGGCGAACGGGUGAGUAAUACAUAAGUAACCUGGCAUCUACAGGGGGAUAACUGAUGGAAACGUCAGCUAACACCGCAUAGGUGUAGAGAUCGCAUGAACUCUAUAUGAAAAGUGCUACGGGACUGGUAGAUGAUGGACUUAUGGCGCAUUAGCUGGUUGGUAGGGUAACGGCCUACCAAGGCGACGAUGCGUAGCCGACCUGAGAGGGUGACCGGCCACACUGGGACUGAGACACGGCCCAGACUCCUACGGGAGGCAGCAGUAGGGAAUUUUCGGCAAUGGGGGAAACCCUGACCGAGCAACGCCGCGUGAAGGAAGAAGUAAUUCGUUAUGUAAACUUCUGUCAUAGAGGAAGAACGGUGGAUAUAGGGAAUGAUAUCCAAGUGACGGUACUCUAUAAGAAAGCCACGGCUAACUACGUGCCAGCAGCCGCGGUAAUACGUAGGUGGCGAGCGUUAUCCGGAAUUAUUGGGCGUAAAGAGGGAGCAGGCGGCACUAAGGGUCUGUGGUGAAAGAUCGAAGCUUAACUUCGGUAAGCCAUGGAAACCGUAGAGCUAGAGUGUGUGAGAGGAUCGUGGAAUUCCAUGUGUAGCGGUGAAAUGCGUAGAUAUAUGGAGGAACACCAGUGGCGAAGGCGACGAUCUGGCGCAUAACUGACGCUCAGUCCCGAAAGCGUGGGGAGCAAAUAAGGAUUAGAAUCCCCUAGUAGUCCACCCCGUAAAACGAGGAGUACUAAGGUUGGGGGGUCAAACCUCAGUGCUGCAGUUAACGCAAUAAGUACUCCGCCUGAGUAGUACGUUGGCAAGAAUGAAACUCAAAGGAAUUGACGGGGGCCCGCACAAGCGGUGGAGCAUGUGGUUUAAUUCGAAGCAACGCGAAGAACCUUACCAGGUCUUGACAUCGAUCUAAAGGCUCCAGAGAUGGAGAGAUAGCUAUAGAGAAGACAGGUGGUGCAUGGUUGUCGUCAGCUCGUGUCGUGAGAUGUUGGGUUAAGUCCCGCAACGAGCGCAACCCCUGUUGCCAGUUGCCAGCAUUAAGUUGGGGACUCUGGCGAGACUGCCGGUGACAAGCCGGAGGAAGGCGGGGAUGACGUCAAAUCAUCAUGCCCCUUAUGACCUGGGCUACACACGUGCUACAAUGGACAGAGCAGAGGGAAGCGAAGCCGCGAGGUGGAGCGAAACCCAUAAAACUGUUCUCAGUUCGGACUGCAGUCUGCAACUCGACUGCACGAAGAUGGAAUCGCUAGUAAUCGCGAAUCAGCAUGUCGCGGUGAAUACGUUCUCGGGCCUUGCACACACCGCCCGUC
rnacentral:rRNA from 1 species